AUUGAACGCUGGCGGCAUGCUUUACACAUGCAAGUCGAACGGCAGCGGGUCCUUCGGGAUGCCGGCGAGUGGCGAACGGGUGAGUAAUGCAUCGGAACGUACCGUGUAAUGGGGGAUAACGUAGCGAAAGUUACGCUAAUACCGCAUACGCCCUGAGGGGGAAAGCGGGGGAUCGCAAGACCUCGCGUUAUACGAGCGGCCGAUGUCGGAUUAGCUAGUUGGUGGGGUAAAGGCCCACCAAGGCGACGAUCCGUAGCGGGUCUGAGAGGAUGAUCCGCCACACUGGGACUGAGACACGGCCCAGACUCCUACGGGAGGCAGCAGUGGGGAAUAUUGGACAAUGGGCGCAAGCCUGAUCCAGCAAUGCCGCGUGUGUGAAGAAGGCCUGCGGGUUGUAAAGCACUUUCAGUGGGGAAGAACAGAUUCGGGUCAAUACCCCGGAGCCCUGACGUUACCCACAGAAGAAGCACCGGCUAACUCCGUGCCAGCAGCCGCGGUAAAGUGUG
rnacentral:rRNA from 1 species